GCUGGGCGCGGUGGCUCACGCCUGUAAUCCCAGCAUUUUAGGAGGCUGAGGUGGGCGGAUCACCUGAGGUCAGGAGUUCCAGACCAGCCUGACCAACAUGGAGAAACCCCGUCUCUA
rnacentral:SRP_RNA from 1 species